rnacentral:rRNA from 1 species
UACGGAGGUGGCAAGCGUUGUUCGGAAUUACUGGGCGUAAAGGGCGCGUAGGCGGCAAGGCAAGUCAGGUGUGAAAGCCCCGAGCUUAACUCGGGAAUUGCAUCUGAAACUGCUGUGCUUGAGUUCUGGAGGGGUAGUGGAAUUCCCAGUGUAGCGGUGAAAUGCGUAGAUAUUGGGAGGAACACCUGCGGCGAAGGCGGCUACCUGGACAGAAACUGA